rnacentral:rRNA from 1 species
AAUGAACGCUGGCGGCGCGCCUAAUACAUGCAAGUCGAGCGAGAAGACGUAGCAAUACGUUUGUAAAGCGGCGAACGGGUGAGGAAUACAUGGGUAACCUACCCUCGAGUGGGGAAUAACUAGCCGAAAGGUUAGCUAAUACCGCGUACGCUUCUUGGACUUCGGUUCAGGGAGGAAAGCGAUGCCGAGGGUAUCGCGCCCUUGGAUGGGCUCACGUCCUAUCAGCUUGUUGGGAGGUAACGGCUCACCAAGGCUUCGACGGGUAGCUGGUCUGAGAGGACGAUCAGCCACACUGGCACUGCGACACGGGCCAGACUCCUACGGGAGGCAGCAGUAAGGAAUAUUGCGCAA